AUGUUUGCAGGUGGUAACUGGGUGGAGCUGAGGGAUUUUAUGCUGCUGGCCUGAGGAAUAGUGUCAGCGCUUGUGUGUGAACUGGGAGGAAACAUGAAGAGGAUGAAAGGUCCAUACAGGAAAAGCCAGCUGUUUUGCUCUGGAAAACAGCAAUGUUUUGCAGUGGUAGAAGGAUUGAUGACAUGGAUCAUGCUGCUGGAGAAGGGUGAGCUGCUUCCCAAGGCACAGGGAUCGGAGCCACACGUCCUGUGGGUGGAGAAGGAGCAGCUGCAGGAGGAUGGCACGGGGACGGGGAUCUCAGUGAUGAGCAGCCCUACAGCAGGGGAGCUAAUGAUGCUUCAGAGAUUGGUGCAUGUUGAACCAGAAGAAUUGUUCUCAGGAAGGCUUUGCCUGCAAAGGGACAGCAGCUGGAGUCACUCACAGCCCUAUUGAGGAAGGGGGAUCCAGUAUGUCUAACACUGAGCUGUGAAACGCUGACUGUGUGACUGUGCUGUCUUUUCUUCUGGGGCUGCCUCUGACACUUGCUGUCAGGAUGCAUGAGGGUUUCCAUGCGCUGGAGGCAUUAGGGGACUGUGCCAGCAGGGCUGAGAUCCUCCUGAUGCAGAACUGGCUGCGUGGUGGUCUGUUUUGCUUUCCAGGCAGGAAAAUAGCACUGCAAGGACACACUGGGGGGCACAAACCUCUGCCCACUGUGCUGAAUGUUCUCUGCAAAUGACUUUGAAAAAAGCUCUUUGAACCAAUUCCACGUAAGCUGCAGAGAACUUCAUUAUGAAAAAUCUUUGUUUGCUCUGGAAUAACUGAGAGUUUGGGGUACUAUUUUUGCUUGUAAUUUUUGUGAUCAGCUCUCAGCCUCUGUAAAUGCCUCCAUGGGAGCAAUGUGCUUUUUUUGUUGUUAAUUAUUUUUAAAUUGACAUACUGUGUGAAACCACAGUGUGCUCAACACCUUGCCUUUGUGCCAUUGAGAAAUAAAGCAGCAGCCCUAGGCUGGCAUGAACACACCUCUCCUGCCCAUCCCAAUGGGAUGUCCUCAUCGGUCCCUCCUGCUGAUGGAGGCUGCCUGGGUCCUGCUUGCUCAGCUCCUGGGGAACAUCCAUCAGCCUGGGGGAAAAGCCACAGCUGGAUGUGCCCACUUCACCUCUGGCUCCUUUCUCAGGCAUGCUGCUGACAUUAGGAAGGAUGCAAUGCUCAUUGUCCGAGAUGAAUGGCUAUGUCUCAUAGCUAUCUGUCUGGUAAAGGCUUGCUUUGUAGAGACGUGAGACAUGGCUGUAAGCCGGUCUAACCACUAGCCUUAGUAGUGAUUAAUCUGUAAGACUGAUACGUGGUUUUUAUUCUUUCCAU
rnacentral:lncRNA from 7 species